rnacentral:rRNA from 1 species
UACAGAGGUGGCAAGCGUUGUUCGGAAUUACUGGGCGUAAAGGGCGCGUAGGCGGCCUUCUAAGUCAGACGUGAAAUCCCCCGGCUUAACCUGGGAACUGCGUCUGAUACUGGAAGGCUUGAGUGCGGGAGAGGGAUGUGGAAUUCCAGGUGUAGCGGUGAAAUGCGUAGAUAUCUGGAGGAACACCGGUGGCGAAGGCGGCAUCCUGGACCGACACUGACGUUCAGGCACGAAAGCGUGGGGAGCAAACAGG